rnacentral:lncRNA from 1 species
GUUUGACCUGCAGCAAGUAACCACACUUGUUAGACAUUAAUUUCCUUUCUGGUUAAAGGGGCAAAAUAAAAGCCUAUCUAUUUGUAUUGUGAUGCUCAAAUGAGAUAAUUUAGGAACACAGGAAGCUUUUACGACACUAUACAUGGUAAAGUACUCUCCCAUCUCUUCAGAAAGCCUUCCUUUGUUACCCAAGGUCUCCCUCUACUUAAAGCAGUUGGGGAAUUUUCAGUUUCUUGCCAGGCAGUUUAAAACUGGAGAUUACUAUGCACGCAGUUUUUUAGAAAGUCCAUUGAAUGGGAUCACGCUGGACCGCAAGCAGUUAAGAGGAAAUGGCCUAUUAGGGUCUUGCUAAUCCAAGAAGUUCAGGACCUGAAAAGUAUCUAGAAUGCCUCUAAAAGGCACGACUCAAAGCAGCUAGGAUGGCUGACCCACCGAGGGCCCGCGGGAUACUCGCCGAGUAAUCGUAGAGCAGAACCUAGACCCAGGCAUCAGCACCCGUGUUGCACCGGACCAAGGCCUGGGCCCAGCGCACCGAGGUCAACUCCGGGGCCGUUGAACCAAGCCAGGAUACCCAGGUUCCACAGUGUGCUAAGGUCUUCUGCAAACUGGUCUUUAACUUCUCUGUUCAGCCUUCUCUCCAACUACUUCCCAAACAUCCUCCAUCAUGUUCCAGUCCAAGAGACUUCUUAUGCAACUUUUCCCUCACACCAUUUUCUCCAUCUUCCUGGCUGGCCUCUACUUCCCACUCCAGCUCUGCCUGGUGAAACCAUACCCAUCCUUCAAAGACCCACUUGCUUUGUGCAGUGACUAUCCUGUUGCCCAAACAUCAUUAAUUAAAAAUUCCAUCUUUGCCCCCACUGAUGUGAGGAGCCACCUACAUUAGUAGCUUUUCAGCAGAGGAGUAACACAUCUGUGUUAGAGAAUUCUGGUGGAGAUGUAGAAGACAGACUGAAGAAGAGAAAGUAGAGCAGGUAUUGAUUGGUUUAUAGCCUUUCAGGAUUUUUGGUUGUUUUUUUUUUUUUUUUAGGGUUUUUUAAUGCAUAAAUUUUGUUUUCACAAAAUUGAGAUAAUUCUAUAAGUGUGUGAAUUUAUUGAACAGGUAUUUAUUGAGAACCCAUCACCAUUUUUUAGGCCCUGGGGUUUCAGAUAACUGGGGAUAAAAGAACAGAGUCCUUGCUGUCAGGAAGCUUCUAUUCUAGUGGAGGAACUAGGCAAUAAAAUAAAAAUAUAAAUUACAUACAUAUAUAUAAAUAGGCCAGGUGAAGUGGCUCACACCUGUAAUCCUAGUACUCUGGGAGGCUAAGGCAGGAGGAUCACUUGAGGUCAGGAGUUUGAGGUUGCUAUGAUGAUGCCACUGCACUCUAGCUGGGGCAACAGAGCAAGACUGUCUAAAAAAUAUAUAUAUAUAUACACACACACACAUACACAAACAUAAUGUGUGGAUUAAGUGCUGUAAAGAAAAUUAUGGCUAAGAAAAAAAGGCUGGAGAAUUAUAGGAACUGUUAGAAGUUGUCUAGGGAAGGUCUUAUUAAGGAAAGUGACAUUUGAGCAAAGCCUUGAAUGAAGUAAGAGUGAGUCCUGCCAGUAUCUAUGAAAAGAGUUGUUCUAAUCAGUGAAAAUAGCAAGUGCAAAGAUUCUAAGGCAAAAGCAUGGCAUGUUUGUCAUGGUUUGUGGAACAAAGAGGAUGCAGGUAGAUAUUCCUGAGGCAGAAUGAGGAAGAGGGAGAAUAAGUGGGAAUGAGACCAGAAAGUGAGCUGAUAAAGGACAUUGUAAACUACCGGAAGAUUUUGGAUUUUAUUCCAAGUGUGAUGGGAAGCUACUACUAGAGAGUUUUGAUCAGAAAGGGAAAUUGUCUAACCUACCUUCUAAAAUCUUUACUCUGGUUGCUCUUGGAGAGAGGAUGAAGGCAUAAGCUAAGGCAGUGGUUCCCAACGUUUUUUGGCACCAGGACAGGUUUCAUGGAAGAUAAUUUUUCCAUGGCCAGUGGGGG